ensembl:sense_intronic Gm43260 predicted gene 43260
UUUUGACCAUAUUUCCUUCACACAUUUCUCCCCUUUCCCCCUCCCCUCCUUCUCCCCCUCCCUCAAUAUAACUGGCUUAGUCCAGUCACUGAUACUCAUAUAUGCAUGGGUGUGGGGCCAUUCACUGGAGCAUACUUACCCUAUUAGAAACCACAUGCCCAAAGAAAACUGACUCACCACUUGCUGCCACUAUUGUCAAGGCCUCUUCAUAGGAAGGAAUUUGAAAAUUUAAUUCUGUAGUUUUUUUAGGGAGAAGAUAAUUUUGGAAUUUGAUAUAGUGUUGUAAAAACUGUAAAUGACAUUAUUCAUCUAUGUUAAAUAUUAUGUUACAUUCCUAACCAACCAAUUCCAGCCCAUCUAAAGGGUUCAGUUGGGAAGUCUCAUCUAUUAAGGAUGUUUAUUAUCAACUUGUAGUUGAUAAUACAUCAGUUAUUUAUUACCAAGUAGUACUAGAAGAUCAAUACUAAAUCUCAGGAAUCCAAGUCAAAAGUCUGCUUAUUGUUGGAGGGGCUUUAUGCUCCUGUGAGUCAGUGAACAUCACUGCUCUAAAAAAGCUGAUAUGUUUUUACACUGUCUUAACAUAUAUUUCUUUUUCACAUUUUAAAUGAGUCUAUAGCUCUAUAGAUGAAAACUUUUGAGAGGACCAAUUGUUAGCUUAGAGAAGUAUUUUUGAUGAAACAGAACUAAGCUGAACAUUCUUUGUAGCCAGCUUGGCAUAGUAUAGCAUCAUGGCAUUUACUACUCAACCUGAAAUAAAACAAAACAAAAACAAAGAAAAAGCAGAAAAAACUCAAAACAAUUAUGUGUCAUAUUUUCUACUAGUAUAUAACUUUGGUAACAGUCCACAAACACUGCCAUUGUUCCUCUAGCUUCCUCCUUCUAUUUCAUCCUGGAUCCUCUCCCACAUUAAAUCAGCAUGACUGCUAUAAAACCUGCUUGACCAUGAAGUAAAUAGUAUUUAAAAGGGCACUAAGAAGUUUUUAUUUACCUCCAACCUUUAAAGAGGCAAAUGGUCUAAUUUGGUAUAAUAGGUUUUUCAAAAUGUAGAAUCCAAAUCAAUAUUUCUUUAAAUCUAGGCAUUAGAUUUAAACCUUUGAAGCUUCGUACAGAAGUUUAGUGAAUGUGUCUUUUCUGAGAUGAGGAUUCAUAAACUUUUAUUAUCUCUUUCAUGAGUUAUUUAAUAAAUACAUGUGUGAAGUUUCGCAUGAGCACUGCCUAAUGUUCUCAAAUUGCAGCUUUUUGUGUCUGUAUGUUCCCAUGUGUAUGUGUUUGUACUUUGAUAUGUGUGCACCAGAAGUCAACAUCAAGUGGUGUUCCUCACCUUGUUUUAUUUUUUCCUGAGAGACAGGGUUUUGUAUUUUCCUAAAUCUCACCAGUUAGUCUAGACUGGUUUGUUACCAAUCUUCAGGGAUUGUUCUGUCCAGGCACGCUGCUUAUUUUAUUUUGUUACAGGCAUCUAGUUUGCUUUCGCUAUAGUCAGAACACACUAUGUGAUUUCAGUUUAAAAAAUUGUAAGGUUUGUAAGUAUGGAUUAUAGCGGUAUCUUAUGAUAAAGUUCUUAUUGAUUGAAAAAUAUGUAUGUAGCUAUUGGGUAGAGUGUUACAUGUAUAUUUAUUAGAUUUCAUGUUUUGGUUUUAUUGCUUAAAUAUUCUAUAUCUUCAAUGAUUUUCUCUUAAGCAAUUCUGUCCCUUGCUGAAAAGGUGAAUUCUCAGAUGUAAUUUGUAAACUUGAUCUGUUUCUUCUUUCAAGACUACCACCAUUUGCUUCAUGCAUUUUGAGAUUCUCUGUCUUAUUUAGUUCAUUCAUUCUUAGAAUCAUUAUAUUUUCAUAGUAGAUUAGUGCUUUUAUUAUUAUUUAAUAUUUUUCUUGGUCUGAAAAUUUUCUUUGCUCUGGAUAGUAAAAUUCUCUUUGCUUUAUCCGAUAGUAAUAUAGUCAGUCAUUCAUGAUGGUAUGUUAGAGCCACUUCACGUCCUUUGACAGAAGAGAGGAAUAUCAGGCUUUAGGGCCAAAGGUUGCUUCCAAAUUGCUCACUUUUGUUGAGUUUCUAUUAAAGGUGCUUCUAUACUCCACUCCAUGUCCCACACCCCUCUAUAGGAAUCUCAGGUCUUGUGGAAAAAAUUGUUUCCUGUUGCUUCUUCACUGGGUUCCUAGUCAUAGCCCCUUGCUUUUGAUGUUGGUGUCACUUGUGCUGUUCAAGGAAUUCCUGCUCAGUCUAGGGAGGAGUGAGCUUACCUGUAAUGCCUUCUCUGCUAGGACACUUUGGGACUAGCUUUCCUUCUGACACAUAAGAAUGCUCUGCUACUGUGUUCCUCUAGUCUUGAGAUCUUAGACCAGUUUGCUUUCCUUUUAUCCAUGUUUGGAGUUCUCUUUUGUGUUAUUUCUAGGAUUUAUAUGUACUUGGAAGGGAGAAACUAAUCUGGUUAAGUUUAU